rnacentral:rRNA from 1 species
CACGUAGGGGGCGAGCGUUGUCCGGAUUUAUUGGGCGUAAAGAGCUCGUAGGCGGCUCAGUAAGUCGGGUGUGAAAACUCCAGGCUCAACCUGGAGACGCCACCCGAUACUGCUGUGGCUAGAGUCCGGUAGGGGAGCAUGGAAUUCCUGGUGUAGCGGUGAAAUGCGUAGAGAUCAGGCGGAACACCCGUAGCGAAGGCGGCCAGCUGGGCCGUCCCUGACACUGAGGCGCGAAGGCGUGGGGAGCGAACGGG